rnacentral:rRNA from 1 species
GACGUAGGGCGCGAGCGUUGUCCGGAUUUAUUGGGCGUAAAGAGCUCGUAGGCGGCUUGUUACGUCGACUGUGAAAACCCGCGGCUCAACUUCUGGCCUGCAUCCGAUACUGCCCGACUAGAGGUAGGUAGGGGAGAUCGGAAUUCCUGGUGUAGCGGUGAAAUGCGCAGAUAUCAGGAGGAACACCGAUGGCGAAGGCAGCUCGCUGGGACGGUACUGACGCUGAGGCGCGAAAGCGUGGGGAGCAAACAGG